GGAAUUUUGCGCAAUGGGCGAAAGCCUGACGCAGCAACGCCGCGUGAGUGAUGAAGGCUUUCGGGUCGUAAAGCUCUGUCAAGUGGGAAGAACCUGCAGUAUGUUAAUACCAUAUUGCACUGACGGUACCACU
rnacentral:rRNA from 1 species